UACGUAGGGUGCAAGCGUUGUCCGGAAUUAUUGGGCGUAAAGAGUUCGUAGGCGGUUUGUCGCGUCCGUUGUGAAAGCUUGGGGCUCAACCCCAAGUCUGCAGUGUAUACGGGCAGACUAGAGUCAGGUAGGGGAGAACGGAAUUCCUGGUGUAGCGGUGAAAUGCGCAGAUAUCAGGAGGAACACCAAUGGCGAAGGCAGCUCGCUGGAACGGUACUGACGCUGAGGCGACGAAAGCGUGGGGAGCAAACAGG
rnacentral:rRNA from 1 species